rnacentral:rRNA from 1 species
UGAGGAAUAUUGCACAAUAGGCGCAAGCCUGAUGCAGCAACGCCGCGUGGACGAUGAAGGCCUUCGGGUUGUAAAGUCCUUUUCUGGGGGAAGAUACGGACGGUACCCCAGGAAUAAGUGUCGGCUAACUACGUGCCAGCAGCCGCGGUAAUACGGAGGGUGCAAGCGUUGUUCGGAAUCACUGGGCGUAAAGCGCGUGUAGGCGGCCUUCUAAGUCUGGUGUGAAAGCCCGGGGCUCACCCCCGGAAGUGCACUGGAUACUGGAAGGCUAGAGUACCGGAGAGGAGGGUGGAAUUCCUGGUGUAGCGGUGAAAUGCGUAGAUAUCAGGAAGAACACCGGUGGCGAAGGCGGCCCUCUGGACGGAUACUGACGCUGAGACGCGAAAGCGUGGGGAGCAAACAGGAUUAGAUACCCUGGUAGUCCACGCUGUAAACGAUGGGCACUAGGUGCUCGGGGUAUUGACCCCCUGGGUGCCGUAGCUAACGCAUUAAGUGCCCGCCU